rnacentral:lncRNA from 12 species
CCCCCCCCCCCCCCCCCCCCCCCCCCCCCCCCCCCCCCCCCCCCCCCCCCCCCCCCCCCCCCCCCCCCCUUUUUUUUUUUUUUUUUUUUUUUUGGAGCUGAGAGGCUUUUUUGCAUUUUGCUCUUACUGGACUAGUUUAGUUUCUGAGUUCUGCAUAUGUGCAGUUGUAAAGAAGUCAAAUAUUACAGCUGGAAACUGUGAGAUCAGCCCUGUCACUGCUCCGGCCUCCCAUUUACCGUGAAAACAAACACAGUUCUCUUCUCAUGUCUGCCAGCAGGAAGGGGGUGGGGAGGCAGGCAGAAAGGCAGAGGAAAGUUUUUUCUUCAAAAAGGAAGAAGGUCAACUAUUUUGGGAAACCAAAAGCUCUCAGCAAUUAGGAGAAUUCUCUGCUCCGUGAUUAGAGAAGUCUACAAACAAGCUGCAAACAGUAGAGUCCUGAAGAUGAACCAGAGGAAUUAUUUCAUCAACUCCUGAAAUGCAAAACCCGUGGCAAGAGAGAAAAGGCAGUCUUGUGAUUGCACCUCUGACCUAGAGGACAAGCUUUCUCCAAGUAUGAUUUCAUUCAGGUAGUGAGAGCAAGAGCUGGAUUAAGAAACAAAAAGAUUUGCCUUAGGCAAGCAGGUGAGCUCAGUUUUUUCUGUUUUCCCUCUAGCUUUGUGAUCAUACUAUGCACAUAAUCAGA